AGCCUCCUUCCUGAAGGAGGCUGGGCACUGUCGGUCAGGGUGUCAGAAGGUGUUAAUGGCACUAAACCGAGACACGGGCUCUGCUUCUAGCUCAGUAAAUUUGCUGCAGUGUUGACGAUGAGACCUGUAGCACUC